CGGCGGACGGGUGAGUAAUGCCUAGGAAUCUGCCUAGUAGUGGGGGAUAACGUCCGGAAACGGGCGCUAAUACCGCAUACGUCCUACGGGAGAAAGUGGGGGAUCUUCGGACCUCACGCUAUUAGAUGAGCCUAGGUCGGAUUAGCUAGUUGGUGAGGUAAUGGCUCACCAAGGCGACGAUCCGUAACUGGUCUGAGAGGAUGAUCAGUCACACUGGAACUGAGACACGGUCCAGACUCCUACGGGAGGCAGCAGUGGGGAAUAUUGGACAAUGGGCGAAAGCCUGAUCCAGCCAUGCCGCGUGUGUGAAGAAGGUCUUCGGAUUGUAAAGCACUUUAAGUUGGGAGGAAGGGCAGUUACCUAAUACGUGAUUGUUUUGACGUUACCGACAGAAUAAGCACCGGCUAACUCUGUGCCAGCAGCCGCGGUAAUACAGAGGGUGCAAGCGUUAAUCGGAAUUACUGGGCGUAAAGCGCGCGUAGGUGGUUUGUUAAGUUGGAUGUGAAAGCCCCGGGCUCAACCUGGGAACUGCAUCCAAAACUGGCAAGCUAGAGUAUGGUAGAGGGUGGUGGAAUUUCCUGUGUAGCGGUGAAAUGCGUAGAUAUAGGAAGGAACACCAGUGGCGAAGGCGACCACCUGGACUGAUACUGACACUGAGG
rnacentral:rRNA from 1 species